UACGGGGGGGCAAGCGUUGUUCGGAAUUACUGGGCGUAAAGGGCGCGUAGGCGGCCUGCUAAGUCGGACGUGAAAUCCCUCGGCUCAACCGAGGAACUGCGUCCGAUACUGGUGGGCUUGAAUCCGGGAGAGGGAUGUGGAAUUCCAGGUGUAGCGGUGAAAUGCGUAGAUAUCUGGAGGAACACCGGUGGCGAAGGCGGCAUCCUGGACCGGUAUUGACGCUGAGGCGCGAAAGCUAGGGGAGCAAACGGG
rnacentral:rRNA from 1 species